CCGGUACCGUCGAGAUGGGCACCCUAUCCCCAAACGGUUCAACCACUUCAGUGACAAGCCGUCACUAUUGAUAUGACAUCAAGGGAAAGGGGUAAAAACAAAACGAAAAACUACAGAGACAGAACGUGAAUUUUGCUACUCAUGCUAUUACUUAUUAUAGUUGAUUAUUCUACCUUAAAAUUACGUAUUUGUGCUUAAGACUAGUGUUGUUUCCAGCUUACAAACUAGUGAAGGCACUAAAAACUAACCUAAAACCGAGUUGGACAGUGCAAUCGAAGGGUCCAGAACUAUAAGGGACACUGAAAAGUAAGACAAUUAGUAAUAAUAAUGAAACAUUGAACUAAAAUUAACUAUAUUUACAGUUUUAAAGCGAUAAUAAA